rnacentral:rRNA from 1 species
UGGGGAAUAUUGGACAAUGGGGGCAACCCUGAUCCAGCGAUGCCGUGUGUGUGAAGAAGGCCUGCGGGUUGUAAAGCACUUUUAUAAGGGAGGAAGGAUGGUGGAUGAAUAAGCCACUAUAUUGACGUUACCUUAUGAAUAAGCACCGGCUAACUCUGUGCCAGCAGCCGCGGUAAUACAGAGGGUGCGAGCGUUAAUCGGAUUUACUGGGCGUAAAGGGCGUGUAGGCGGUUUUCUAAGUCAGACGUGAAAUACCUGGGCUUAACCUGGGGGUGUCGUAUGAAACUGGAAGACUAGAGUGGAGUAGAGGAUAGUGGAAUUUCCGGUGUAGCGGUGAAAUGCGUAGAUAUCGGAAGGAACACCAGUGGCGAAGGCGGCUAUCUGGACUCACACUGACGCUGAGGCGCGAAAGCGUGGGGAGCGAACAGGAUUAGAUACCCCCGUAGUCC